rnacentral:rRNA from 1 species
UACGGAGGAUGCGAGCGUUAUCCGGAUUUAUUGGGUUUAAAGGGUGCGUAGGCGGGACCUUAAGUCAGCGGUAAAAUUGCGGUGCUCAACGCCGUAGAGCCGUUGAAACUGGGGUUCUUGAGUGAGCGAGAAGUAUGCGGAAUGCGUGGUGUAGCGGUGAAAUGCAUAGAUAUUACACAGAACACCGAUUGCGAAGGCAGCUUGCUAGGCCGGAUCUGACACUGAUGCACGAAAGCGUGGGGAUCGAACAGG